GACGAACGCUGGCGGCGUGCUUAACCCAUGCAAGUUGAACGGAAAGGUCCCCUUGCUGGUACUUUCGUCGCCAACGGGUGCGUAACACGUGAGUAACCUGCCCUUGACUUCUGGAUAACUUCAGGAAACUGGCGCUAAUACCGCAUAGGAAUCCCUGCCGCAUGUGGGGGGUUGGUAAGCCUCCGCGGUUCUGGAUGGACUCGCGGCCUAUCGGCUUGUUGGUGGGGUAGGGGCUUACCAAGGCCUUGACGGGUAGCCGUCCGGAGGGGGCGACCGGCCCCAUUGGGGCUGAGAGGCGGCCCAGACUCCGAAGGGAGGCAGCAGUGGGGAAGAUUGCACAAUGGGCGGAAGCCUGGUGCAGCAACGCCGCGGGCGGGAGAGCGGCCUUCGGGUUGUAAACCGCCUUCAGCAGGGGCGAAGCUUGUGGUGACGGUACCUGCAGAAGAAGCACCGGCUAACUUCGUG
rnacentral:rRNA from 1 species